rnacentral:rRNA from 1 species
AGGAUGAACGCUGGCGGUCUGCUUAACACAUGCAAGUCGAACGGAGUACCUCGGUACUUAGUGGCGGACGGGUGAGUAACGCGUGAGAAUCUGCCCUUAGGUCGGGGACAACCAUUGGAAACGAUGGCUAAUACCGGAUAAGCCGAGAGGUAAAAGAUUAAUUGCCUAGGGAAGAGCUCGCGUCUGAUUAGCUAGUUGGUGAGGUAAAGGCUCACCAAGCCUUCGAUCUGUAGCUGGUCUGAGAGGACGACCAGCCACACUGGGACUGAGACACGGCCCAGACUCCUACGGGAGGCAGCAGUGGGGAAUUUUGGACAAUGGGCGAAAGCCUGAUCCAGCCAUGCCGCGUGCAGGAUGAAGGCCUUCGGGUUGUAACUGCUUUUGUACGGAACGAAAGUCUCUUUCUAAUAAAGAGGGAUCAUGACGGUACCGUAAGAAUAAGCACCGGCUAACUACGUGCCAGCAGCCGC